GCCACUACCUCCUCCCACGCUCCGCCUCACCACCACCUCCUCCAGGUGGGUGGACUGCUGGGAUUUGAUCCUUGGCUUUCCUGGGCCUCUCAGUCCUUGGGGUCCCAACUUAGGCCAGGGCUCUGGGGAGGUGUGGCCUACCCACAAGUGAGGAUGUCCAGCCAGGGACAUUUGGGAGGUGAGGGGAAUCUGACCAUGUGGCCUGUGGCUUCUAGGAAGGAAGCCUUCUAGGAGGAGGAGUUUCGUGGGGAGAACAUGGUCCUAGGAGUAUCUUUCUACAAAUGUACAAGGGCAGAGAAUUGUGUGCCUUGUGAAAGAGUGUCCCGGGUGCUAUGCUUUUGCCAACAUACCAGCCAUUUCCAUGCAUGGGUCCGUGUAAAUGUGGGGUCUGUGUGCUGAAGCCCCAGCCCCUCUUCUUAAAGCGGCCCAGAGGUUGCACCAAACACAGUUACAGCGGCGCUAAUGCUUAGAAGCAGCCGUAGAAGGUGAGAUCUCCUCCACGGCCCGCGGGCUCCCAUCGUGUUGUCUGCUGACACAUCAGCACUGCCCCUCCCCCAGCCCCAGCACAGGAUGCGAGUCUGGGUCCCGAAGAUGCUGGCCCAGCGCAGCCCUGUGUGAGGCUGCGGGGAUUGGCCUCUGCCGGUUGGCGCUGCUUGUGCCGCCCUCCUGCCCAUCCUGGUAGAUGGGCCCUCCUGUCCUUAGCUCGUUCAGAACGUGAAUUCCGACCUACAGCUACACGUAGGUCCAGCGAACUCCUCUGUGCCCAACAUGAAGUUAAGAAGCGAGUUCCUGGUUUUUCCUUGCUUAGCCUGAAGGUGUUCACCUUCCUGUGAACUCAGGUUCUUUUGCCAAAAUGCUACUUGCUGAUCCCCUCUAAACCCAUGCGUGCUUGGGAGCAAGACAACGUCCUUUUAAUUUGAUUUGAACCUAUCCAGUAGAUUCAAGACCCUUUAUUGUUAUUAUUGUUAUACUCCCAGGAGGGCAGGGCUGAGCUGAAGCCAGUUUGUUAUGCUCAGAGAAGGUAGACCAGAUGGCCCAAAGUGGAGGAGCGUUCGCAGUUGCUGGGGGUGUAGAGACUAUGUACUGUCCCGCCUUGGGCAGGCUGCCUACUACCAUUUGGAGAGUAUGGGGCUCAGGAAAGGCUACUGAUGGAGCGGGUUGGACUCCAGUCCCAGCUCCCUCCCUUCCUGGUGCAUUGCCAGGUUCUGGAGAUGCCCCCGUGAGUGGCCUUG